rnacentral:rRNA from 1 species
CGUGACGGCGCGAGCAGGUGCGAAAGCAGGUCAUAGUGAUCCGGUGGUUCUGAAUGGAAGGGCCAUCGCUCAACGGAUAAAAGGUACUCCGGGGAUAACAGGCUGAUACCGCCCAAGAGUUCAUAUCGACGGCGGUGUUUGGCACCUCGAUGUCGGCUCAUCACAUCCUGGGGCUGAAGUAGGUCCCAAGGGUAUGGCUGUUCGCCAUUUAAAGUGGUACGCGAGCUGGGUUUAGAACGUCGUGAGACAGUUCGGUCCCUAUCUGCCGUGGGCGCUGGAGAAUUGAGGGGGGCUGCUCCUAGUACGAGAGGACCGGAGUGGACGCAUCACUGGUGUUCGGGU